AAGAGCUGUUAAUGCCAAAUUUAGUUUAAGUUUCUUCUCAGCUACUUCUCGAUAGUCUUCGUUAAUACCCUGCGUCAACUUGUGCUUCAUCGACCAUUCAAUAGCUUUCCGUACAGCCUUGCUGUUUAACGUCGGCGUUUAGCUUGCCGUUAACAUAUUCAAUUAAAAACAAAUUAGAGGUUACUAUGUCUGAUAAAUCGACUGGUCUGGUAAAAUGGUUCGACGAAACUAAAGGUUUUGGCUUCAUCACUCAAGAUAACGGCGGCAAGGACGUAUUCGUUCACUUCCGUGCAAUCGUUUCUGACGGUUUCAAAACUCUGGCUGAAGGCCAAAAAGUACGUUUUAACGUUGAGCAAGGCCAAAAAGGCCCUCAAGCGACUAACGUAGAAGCGCUGUAAUUCAGCGAGAAACGGCGCAAUACUCGGUAUAUUGCGCCGUUUU
rnacentral:sRNA from 1 species